CAAAAGCAAUGGCUUGGCCAAGUCUCAACAAGUUCCACCCAACGUCAAAGCUUAUGAUGUUUGGGAUGGGGCACCGGAAGGCAACGCUUUAGAGGAGAUAGAGUCGUUCAUGAAAGUGGAGCAUGCGGUUUUUAAGAGAGGAGUGGAAGUGGCGGUGACGGAGAGAGGGAGGAGACUGAGUUGUUUGGUGAGUGGCGCUUUCGUUGGGGUUGGGAAAGAAAUGGCAGAAGAGAGCUUGGGUUGCGUUUUUUGCUUCUGAAGCUUCCCCUCUUUCUUCACUGAUUUUAUCAAACAAAAGUUUGGAGUUGAAGCUACAGCAUACAGGAGACGAUGAAAUGAAACUAUCAACUUCGUUCCGGGAAUGUCUAAGGUACGCAUCCGCGACUUGCCCGAAGGAAUCGUCUCUUCUCCGGAGAUCUGAAAUCAGACUUCUAUCGCAUGUUGUCUUCAUAAGCCAGAACCUGCAUCAGGCAACUGUUGUCUUCAUCAACUCAUUCGAAGAACUCAGCCCUUCCAUUACCAACGACAUGAAACCAAAGUUCAAAAAGCUCCUCAGCGUUGGACCUUCAGUCCUUUCCACACCACCAGUACCAGUUCCAGAUUCUCACGGUUGCUUGUCAUGGCUCAACA